rnacentral:rRNA from 1 species
UACGGAGGGUGCAAGCGUUUAUCCGGAUUCACUGGGUUUAAAGGGUGCGUAGGAGGGCAGGUAAGUCAGUGGUGAAAUCCCCGAGCUUAACUUGGGAACUGCCGUUGAUACUAUCUGUCUUGAAUACCGUGGAGGUGAGCGAAAUAUGUCAUGUAGCGGUGAAUGCUUAGAUAUGACAUAGAACACCAAUUGCGAAGGCAGCUCGCUACACGAAUAUUGACUCUGAGGCACGAAAGCGUGGGAUCAAACAGG